CUCCAGUACAAUGUUGAAUAAAAGUGGUGAUAGUGGGUACCCUAUUCUCAUUCUCAUCUCAGGGAAAGAGUUGUAUAUUUCACCAGAAUUUGUCCAUUUCGUGUGAAUUUUCAAGUUUGUUGGGAUAUACUUAUUCAUAAUAUCCUCUCAUUAUCUUUUUGAUGAAGGACUUACCUCAGCGCUCUCCAUCUCUGAGGAAGCCUCCUGGUCCUAGGAUGGAAAGCCCUUGCGUUUUCCUCUGCAGCAGCACUGAACACUGCGCAGUGACCGACUACGUCCAUAUCUGCCUUCUGUAGCAGGUGAUGAGCUCCUUGAAGAAAAGAGACACCGACAGAGAGAAGAAUGCCAGGUGAAAACACAAGACCCAAGGGAGGAUGUCACGUGAUGACGGAGACAGCAACUGAGUGAUGUGCCUACAGGCCGAGGAACACUGA